rnacentral:rRNA from 1 species
GACGAACGCUGGCGGCGUGCUUAACACAUGCAAGUCGAACGGAAAGGCCCUGCUUUUGUGGGGUGCUGGAGUGGCGAACGGGGGAGGAACACGUGAGUAACCUGACCUUGACUUUGGGAUAACUUAAGGAAACUGGGGCUAAUACAGGAUAGGAGCUGCUGCUGCAUGGUGGGGGUUGGAAAGUUUCGGCGGUUGGGGAUGGACUCGCGGCUUAUCAGCUUGUUGGUGGGGUAGUGGCUUACCAAGGCUUGGACGGGUAGCCGGCCUGAGAGGGUGACCGGCCACAUUGGGACUGAGAUACGGACCAGACUCCUACGGGAGGCAGCAGUGGGGAAUAUUGCCCAAUGGGCGGGAGCCGGAUGCGAAAACGCCGCGUGCGGGAUGACGUCCUUCGGGUUGUAAACCGCUUUCGCCUGUGACGAAGCGUUAGUGACGGUAAUGGGUAAAGAAGCACCGGCUAACUACGUG